GAGGCCUAAAACAAAUACGAGCAAAAUAUGAAAAAAAAAACAAAAAUGCUGUAAAAUACCACUUAAGUAGAAAAUGUGUUUGCCUUGACUUGUGAAAGAAACUCAGAUUAAGCAGGGAAGAUGGUGGGGGGGAGGUGCGGCCAAGUGGCGGGGCACGAGCUUGGCAUGCACAGGGUGCUGGGUCCUCGGUACCUGCUCCAAAACUAAAUAAAUAAAUGACCCCAAUUACCCCCUCCCCCCACCAAAAUAAAAACUUAGAAAAAUAAGAAAUUAAAAAACAACAGGGAAGAUGGUGCAGCAGCUGCUGCAGAAGGCGACGAGCAGGGUAGUAGAGGGCGGGUCAGGGCCAGGGGUGGCUCAGGACUGCGGACACGGGCCCCCGGCCCCGCCCUCUCCCCCACUGAACGCAGCUGUAAAACUGGAAGGAAAUACCUGCAAGAGCGCUGUCAGGAUUCCGAACAGAAAACAGCAGCAGAAAGCUUGGGGAAUAAGAUGAGAAUCUGAAGAGCCGCAAAUGCGUGACCCCAGCCUGCAUUGCCUCUACUUCUUGCAGGUCAACUCCACCUCCUUCUGCAUACCAGCCGCCUGCACCCCUGUGGAGCACUUGUUCUGUUCCUCCUACAAGCUGGUCUUCCAAAUCCGAACAGGAGCUGCAGGGGCUGCCUGGAAGGUGCACGCCGGGGGACCUGCAGCUCCAGAGGGCUGCCUGGCUGACAGCUGAACCCACGUGUGGUUAGGGAUGCCCAGCGCCCAGAGGCUUGGCUGGGAGCACUUGCUGUCCUCCCUCCCAGGUUCAGAAAAAAGAUGCUCAUCAGCAAGGGCUGCACGUCUUCCUGCUUCACCAGCAACCCCCCGACUUGAGCAUGAUCCCCGCGGAAAAUAUCAGUCACGCCAAGUUCCUGUGCUGCCCAUCCGGCAGGUAUAACCAAGAGGUCAAGGGUAGCUCCUCGGCCCUGCAAGUCAGGCUCCUGCUCAGCCUGGGGCUUGGCUUCCACCAGGCCCUGGUGCGAGGACCCUCCCUUCCUGCCCCCACCCCAGCCCCUCCCUCUCUGUGGACUGGGUGACAGGGCCGACCCUCCAAGAUGAGGGUCCCCUGGGUGGGAGAGGCAGACUCACUGCCCCUCUUGCCUGGCAUGUAUGAGCAUGGUCCGGCCCCUCCGUCCUCCUAGUCCCAGUUUCAGGGGGUGGCAGGUUCCUUCUGGUCCAGCUCACUCGUGCUGUCCACCUUAAGAGGGUCUUGCCCAACAAAGUGUCAACUCCAUCCCUUCUAUGCCAAUGAGAUGGGUGGUGACACUUGUCCCCCACAUGGACCCUGAAGUUCACAUCCCCUGGAGAAGCCUCGCAAGGGUGCCUGACAGGCAAUGGGAUCACAGAUCAAUAAAGAAAAGCAAACAAGGCCGAGCGAGCACUGGGUGUCGGGUAGAGAUGGGCUCAGGUAGGAUCGUAAGUUAACAAGGAGAGAGCCUUGGAUGGCGAAGGAACAGGGAGUGAGUGACAAAGCUGUGGGAAUGCCCCUCGGUGAGG